rnacentral:rRNA from 1 species
UAGGGAAUUUUCGUUCAAUGGGCGCAAGCCUGAACGAGCGAUGCCGCGUGAGUGAAGAAGGCCUUGGUCGUAAAGCUCUGUUGCGGGGGAAAAAAGGACAGCAUCAGGAAAUGGGUGCUGACUGAUGGUGCCCCGCCAGAAAGUCACGGCUAACUACGUGCC